rnacentral:tRNA from 1 species
UCUAUAGCUCAGUUGGUAGAGCAACGGACUCUUAAUCCGUGGGUCGUGGGUUCGAGUCCCUCUGG